rnacentral:lncRNA from 1 species
CAUGAAGGCUACAAUUGAAAAUAAAGAUUCUGUUCUGAAUACAGCCACCAAAAUGAAGGAUGCACAAACAUCCACACCAGAACAAGACUUAGAAAUGUCAUCAGAGGGAGAGCAAAAGAGGCUUGAAAAAUAUGAAAAUAACCAGCCACAGCUUCAAGAAAUACAGGAUCAACUUACAGCUACUAUAAGAUGUACUAAGGAGAUGGAAGGCUUGAAGUAGAAAAUGCCAUGAUGAUAAAAACUAUUAUAAAACAGGAUGACCAAAUUGAGCGGCUUGAGAAAAUCCUGCAGCGUUCAAGUUUGGUAAGCCGAUCUCUUAAUUUCUGUCAUACUGAAAAGGAAUUUUAUUUUCCAGUAGGACGGGUUAAAUAUCCCUUGUCCAAAAUGCUUGGGACCAAAAGUAGAUUUUUUUCAGAUUUUGGAAUAUUUGUAUAUACCUAAUGAAAUAUCUUGGGGAUGGUACCUGAGUCUAAACAUGAAAUUCAUUUAUGUUUCAUAUAUACCUUAUGCACAUAGCCUGAAGGUAAUUCUCUACAAUGUUUUACAGUAAUUUUUUGCAGGUAACAAAGUUUUUACUAUUUUCACCAGAGCCUGUCACAUGAGGUCAGGUGUGGAACAUUGCAGCUGUGGUGUCAUGUCCGUGCUCAAAAAGUUUCAGAUUGUAGAGCAUUUUGGAUUUCAGAUUUCUAGAUUAGGGAUGAUCAAUCUACAGUACAGAUGCUCCUUGACUUACAGUGGGUUUACAUGAUAAUGUCUCUUGUUUGACUGAAACAUUAUAAGUAAUAUUUGCUUUAUUUCAGAUGCCACAGGUGUUCAAGAGCUAGAUGAAGGUAUAUUGCCAAAAUUUAUGAAUUAAAUUCAAAUCAUUGAUUUCUGCAAUAAACUCUAGUGAACGGUAUUCCUCUCAAUUGCUUGGUUAAUAAAUGCUACAUUAAAUAUUUUUUCUUACACACAUCUAGUGAAAGAUGUGAAAACAUAAACAUUCAUAGUGAAGAGUAUACUUAUGCUAUGUUAAUUCAUCAUGUUCCAUAGCUUUAAAAAAAUUGCAAGAAGUCUGUGUAUCCCCUUUUUUCUGGCCCUACACUUUUCUUCUGCCACCCCUAUAGAACUGUCAGCCUGCACACUGAAACUGUUCUCAGAAAACAAAGGCAUUAUCAACUUCUCAAGGUUAAGGUAGUGAUUUAAGGCUAACAGACCCCACACUCAUGUGAUAAUAAUUAGUUAAGCAAUUACAGGUCACAAGCAGUCACUUGUCCAGUGACAUUUUAAAUCUCUAGUCAUGACUUUGUCAUUGGUUUACUUUUGCCCCUGGGAAAAGUUGAAAAUUCCUUAGCAUGGAAUCAAAACUCUCACAUCAGUGUGGUACUUGUCAGAUUAUUCAGCCUUCUCUUUCACCACUUACCAUACUCUGCACCUUUGUUCUAUCAUCCAGCCAAACUAGACUACAUGGAGCUCCACAGUGAUCGUCUUCACCUCCAGCUCUUUGCAUUUACUUCUUCCCUCUAUCCUACAUGUGUUUUCCUUCCCUUUCAGAUAUCAACCUAUGAAUUGCCUCUACCAAAAAGCCUACAAUAUUGACACAAACCUAGGCUAGUAUCCCUUCUAUGUCUUCCAAUAAGUGCUGUCUUAUGCCUGUCAUUGUAUGUAUGACUCUGUAUGGGAAUUGCCUGUUUGUUUUUUCAGAUUAUAGCAUACAGUUGUUGAGGGGUGGACCAUAUCAUCUUUUUCUUGUAAUUCCAGUGCUUGUCCUAGUACCUUAGCACAUGGUUGCUGAAUACAUGAAUGAAGAGUGAGAAACCAGAAGCUCUGAUAUUUAACUGCUGUGAUAAUGAAUUCAGUGUGCAACUAUGGGCAAAUUAUAUUUAAUAGUAAUUGCAUAUUGUACAUAUUUUUCAUUCUUAUUAACACUGAUAAACUUUUCAACUUAUACUGACUUUAAUAAAAUUGUAUUACUAGGCUAUUAACAUGAUAUUUUGUUUCC